CCUACGGGAGGCAGCAGUGGGGAAUAUUGCGCAAUGGGCGAAAGCCUGACGCAGCGACGCCGCGUGAGGGAUGAAGGUCUUCGGAUUGUAAACCUCUGUCAGCAGGGAGGAACGGUCACUGUGCUAAUCAGCAGUGAAUUGACGGUACCUGCAAAGGAAGCACCGGCUAACUCCGUGCCAGCAGCCGCGGUAAUACGGAGGGUGCGAGCGUUAAUCGGAAUUACUGGGCGUAAAGCGCUCGUAGGCGGUAUGUCAAGUCAAGGGUGAAAUCCCCGGGCUCAACGUGGGAACUGCUUUUGAAACUGGCAAACUGGAGUGUGUGAGAGGAUAGUGGAAUUCCAGGUGUAGGAGUGAAAUGCGUAGAUAUCUGGAGGAACAUCAGUGGCGAAGGCGACUAUCUGGCACAUAACUGACGCUGAGGAGCGAAAGCGUGGGUAGCAAACAGGAUUAGAUACCCGGGUAGUC
rnacentral:rRNA from 1 species